UACGAAGGACCCAAGCGUUAUCCGGAUUUAUUGGGUUUAAAGGGUGCGUAGGCGGGUUAUUAAGUCAGUGGUGAAAGCUCUCGGCUCAACCGGGAAACUGCCAUUGAUACUGAUGAUCUUGAGUAUGAUUGAGGUGGGCGGAAUGUGUCAUGUAGCGGUGAAAUGCUUAGAUAUGACACAGAACACCGAUUGCGAAGGCAGCUCACUAAGCCAUAACUGACGCUGAUGCACGAAAGCGUGGGGAGCAAACAGG
rnacentral:rRNA from 1 species